GGCAGAAGAGUUAGCAAAGGUACAGACAGCCCGAUCUAGCCAGUGAGCAAGCAUGUCCGCUUUCGAUUCAAUAUCUUUCUUAACACCCGGAAAAUUAUAUGCCUCUAUAGUAGCCUGCAAUGGAAUGCAGCUAUUUCUGACGGAUAGCUAUGUUAGCUAGGCCACCUGCCUGAUCAGGGUUUCCAUCCGAACUAGUGCCUUAAGCAGGAAGGCAAAUGAAAUUCUGUGGUAUGGUAUCGUAUAUAAGAGAAAGCUUGCUUUUAGGAGUGAUCUUUCGCCUUUAUUGAGGAGAUAUAAAACAAGCUUACUUACUAAUAAAGCGGCAAGAAGCACCUUCUUUCUCAAAGUCAACUUUCUCCCUUUUUACUAGUAGUUGAGUGCUCAUUGUUGUUCGGAUCUU
rnacentral:lncRNA from 1 species